UUGGUGCAUAUUAGAUGCUUAUGGUAUAUUUUGGAUAUGUUGCUUUGUUGUGCUAUCCAUAAAGAUAGCAUUAUUCAGAUAUGACUAUAUAAAAAUGAAGGAUCUAGUUUAACUAAAUACUAUAGUUUGUUGUGCUAUCCAUAAGGCUAUGAGUAUAUCAGAGGUGAGAUGAUGUUGAGAGUUGCAUAAGAUGCAUUUGGGUAGAUUUUUUAUCUUUGAACUCGUAGGAGUUUAUUCUACUAUCCACAUGGUUUCUUUGAGGAA
rnacentral:lncRNA from 1 species